rnacentral:rRNA from 1 species
AUUGAACGCUGGCGGCAGGCUUAACACAUGCAAGUCGAGCGAGCGGCGGACGGGUGAGUCAUGUCUGGGAAACUGCCUGAUGGAGGGGGAUAACUACUGGAAACGGUAGCUAAUACCGCAUACCAUCAGAUGUGCCCAGAUGGGAUUAGCUAGUAGGUGGGGGAAUGGCUCACCUGGGCGACGAUCCCUAGCUGGUCUGAGAGGAUGACAAGCCACAAUGGAACUGAGCCACGGACCAGACUCCUACGGGAGGCAGCAGGGGGGAAUAUUGCACAAUGGGCGCAAGCCUGAUGCAGCCAUGCCGCGUGUGGGAAGAAGGCCUUCGGGUGGUAAAGCACUUUCAGCGAGGAGGCGUUACCCACAGAAGAAGCACCGGCUAACUCCGUGCCAGCAGCCGCGGUAAUAC